GACGUCCCACGCGCUGACAGCCGGGUACCGCCCGCGCCCGCGGCGGCUCGUCCCGACCGAGGCCCCGCGCGUACCCGGCCGGCCCUCCACCCGCGGUCGCUGCCCACGCGCGCCCUCCACCUCACCGCCCUGACUCCCCCCUCACGACUCGGCAGCGGUGGACGAGGAUACGAACCGGGCACCGUGGAGCACGCGCGCCGUCUGCCUCGGGUGGCGGCCGCACCCCUCCGUGCGCUUCCUUCCCUCAGCACCGCGCAGCUCCCCGGCGCGCGGCAGCUCGGCCCAGGCCGGCCCACUCCGCGCCCCUGCCUCGCCCUGCCGCCACCCUGCCCCGCCCCCGCGUGCGCUCGUGCGCUUCCCGCCUUCCGAUUGGCUGCGCGAUGGCGACUGGGCGGGACCGGCGAGCUAGGCCCGGGCCAGAGGGGCGGGGGCGGAAGAGGGCGCGCUCCCUGCCAGUUUUGUGACGUCAUGGGGGUCAGACAAUCCCUUCCAUUUGGCACGGCCUGCCUAUUGGCUCCACGCGUGCGCGCGCUCGCGUGACCACGCCCUGUUGCUGGUGAAGGUGGGUCUGCGCGCGCCGCCGCCCCGAUGAUGGACAGCUUGGAGGGGGUUGGCCUGGGGCUCAUCCACGAGGAAGCACCUGGGCAGGCCUCCAGCGUCUCCGUGCGCUCUCCUCGGGAGCCGCUUGCUUCCCCCGCGGGCGGGCUUCCGCGAAUGCCUGGCACCUCUGCGGGGCCCGCGUGGCGCGCUAGACUGGCCUGAGGACCAGGCCUUCUCGGGGAAGCGACUCACCCCAGUGAAAACCUCAACUCCCCGGCCUGUUAAGUGAGGCGUGGCAGAGAAUCUCGGAUGAGGCUUAUGGACAGAGAAGAUGAAGAAGGUGGGUUAGAAUAGAACAGGUACCACAGGUAACUCUCCCAACCAAGAACAAGAUCUGUGUGAGCCCUUAUUUCCAGCUCUUUGGAUAAGAGGCCAAGAACCUUGAAACAACUGACUGCUGCUACCAAUAAGAACUGUAAAUAAUGAGAUUCCAGAAUUUACAGCUCCAUUGAACAAGACCUUGAAAGUUGUUGCAUUGACUAAUUUUCUCAUAACACAAUGCUGUCAGUGUCACAUAAAAUUUCUUUUUCAAACUGAUUUUCAUAUCUGCAUGGGAAAUUCUAACUUGUUUUACUAUAUCCAACAUUUCAGUUUUAUACCAGGAUGGUAUUGAUUUUUGCAUCUUGUUCUUCAGCCAAUGACUUGGCUAUAUUUAAAAUUAAUGCUGAUUCUUAAAAAUAAAAAAAGUUAUUUGCCACCACUAAAUAUAGUCAAAAGAAUUUGUCAUCAAGAUUGAAUGCCAAGAUAUUUCUGGAAUUGGAAUAAAGCCUCCACAGAGUGAUGACUUUGAAAUAAUCUCAGAGGUGUAAGUUCUAUUCUAGUUACAUGAUUGAGUGACAUGCACAUUGUAACACACCAGUCUACAGCGGUUCCAAUGCCUCUGUACUGGAUGAGGUUCUCUGCCUUGAUUCUCUUCUGGCAUGCUCUUAACUCUCUUUCUGGAUGGAGGCUGCCCAAUUGGGCUUCCUUCAGUAGUGCUAUUUGUUAUU